UACGGUAGGGUGCGAGCGUUGUCCGGAAUUAUUGGGCGUAAAGGGCUCGUAGGCGGUCUGUCGCGUCGGGGAGUGAAAACUCAGGGCUUAACCCUGAGCCUGCUUCCGAUACGGGCAGACUAGAGGUAUGCAGGGGAGAACGGAAUUCCUGGUGUAGCGGUGAAAUGCGCAGAUAUCAGGAGGAACACCGGUGGCGAAGGCGGCAUCCUGGACCGACAUUGACGCUGAACGGCGAAAGCUAGGGGAGCAAACGGG
rnacentral:rRNA from 1 species